CGUGUACUUAAGAGAGCCCGCACGGGGCACGCGCCCUCGCUCGUCCCCAGAGGAGACUUUCCUUCUCCCAGCAAGCGUGCGGGAUGCUCCAGGCGUGCCAAGGCCCUCCGGGACCAGGGAGUUGGCCGCAGGCACCCACGGUAAACAGCCCUCUAAUGACGGAGGGCUCGAUGCGGGAGAUUUCAGUCCCGACUCUACACCGGCUUCAAGAACUUGAAACAGACAUUCCCCCCAGAGCCUCAGUUUUCCCAUCUGUUUGGAGUUUGCUGGCUCCGUCUCCAGUUCCUUUUGUCUCUUCCCACAUCCCCUCACUCAAGGUCUCUGGGAGCCUGGGCCUUCAGAGACAGCCCUCAGAUCACCUGAGUCGCCCAAGGAUGGAGACCUCCCCCCCAUUUUCCAGAACAAUAAGGUUAGAUGCAGAAAGGCCUGGCCAUUCCCAGCCACCACCCCCCGACUCCUCCCCAGGUGUGGGUGCUGAGAGGUGGAGCCACAGCCAGGCCUCUCCCCAUUGGGCGGGCUCCACAGGUAACCUGAAGCUGUGCUGCCAGGUGCAUAAAUAA
rnacentral:lncRNA from 1 species